AAUGCACCAAUUUGUAAGUCGCUCUGGAUAAGACCGUCUGCGAAAUGACUUAAA
rfam:Salmo salar isolate Sally breed double haploid chromosome ssa10, whole genome shotgun sequence.